rnacentral:rRNA from 1 species
CCUACGGGAGGCAGCAGUGAGGAAUAUUGGUCAAUGGACGAGAGUCUGAACCAGCCAAGUAGCGUGAAGGAUGACUGCCCUAUGGGUUGUAAACUUCUUUUAUAUGGGAAUAAAAUGUUCCACGUGUGGGAUUUUGUAUGUACCAUAUGAAUAAGGAUCGGCUAACUCCGUGCCAGCAGCCGCGGUAAUACGGAGGAUCCGAGCGUUAUCCGGAUUUAUUGGGUUUAAAGGGAGCGUAGGUGGAUUGUUAAGUCAGUUGUGAAAGUUUGCGGCUCAACCGUAAAAUUGCAGUUGAAACUGGCAGGCUUGAGUACAGGAGAGGUGGGCGGAAUGCGUGGUGUAGCGGUGAAAUGCUUAGAUAUCACGAAGAACUCCGAUUGCGAAGGCAGCUCACUGGACUGCAACUGACACUGAGGCUCGAAAGUGUGGGUAUCAAACAGGAUUAGAUACCCCAGUAGUC